rnacentral:rRNA from 1 species
UCCUACGGGGGGCAGCAGUUGGGAAUUUUCGUCAAUGGGCGCAAGCCUGAACGAGCAAUGCCGCGUGAACGAGGAAGGUCUUCGGAUCGUAAAGUUCUGUUGAAGGGGAAAAAGAGCGGAGAGAGGAAAUGGUCUCCGAUUGAUAUUACCCUUCGAGGAAGUCACGGCUAACUACGUGCCAGCAGCCGCGGUAAUACGUAGGUGGCGAGCGUUAUCCGGAAUGAUUGGGCGUAAAGGGUGCGUAGGCGGCCUGCUAAGUCUGGAGUGAAAGGUACCGGCUCAACCGGUACAGGCUCUGGAAACUG